rnacentral:rRNA from 1 species
GCCGCAGUAUUUUGACUGUGCAAAGGUAGCAUAAUCAUUAGUUUUUUAAUUGAAAGCUGGAAUGAAGGGUCGGAUGAGAAAGGUUCUGUCUCACAAUUAUUUUAGUUGAAUUUUAUAUUUAAGUUAAAAAGCUUAAAUUUUAUAGAAAGACGAGAAGACCCUAUAGAGUUUAAUAGGUUUAUUUUACACUUAAUUUUAGGUUUAAAUUUAAUUGUUAAAUAUUCUAUUUGGUUGGGGUGACAUAAGAAUUGAAUUAACUUCUUAUUAUAAUAACAUUGAUUUAUGAAUGCUUGAUCCUAUUAUUUAGAUUAUAAGAAUAAAUUACCUUAGGGAUAACAGCGUAAUUUUUUUAGAGAGUUCUUAUCGAUAAAAAAGAUUGCGACCUCGAUGUUGGAUUAAAGUUAGGUUCUGGUGCAGAAGCUAGAAUUUUA